rnacentral:rRNA from 1 species
UGGGGAAUAUUGGGCAAUGGGCGCAAGCCUGACCCAGCAACGCCGCGUGAGGGAAGAAGGUCUUCGGAUUGUAAACCUCUGUCCUUGGGGACGAAAAAAAUGACGGUACCCAAGGAGGAAGCUCCGGCUAACUACGUGCCAGCAGCCGCGGUAAUACGUAGGGAGCGAGCGUUGUCCGGAAUUACUGGGCGUAAAGGGUGCGUAGGCGGCAUGGCAAGUCAGAUGUGAAAUCCCCGGGCUUAACUCGGGGGUGCAUUUGAAACUACCUUGCUUGAGUGCAGGAGAGGAAAGCGGAAUUCCUAGUGUAGCGGUGAAAUGCGUAGAUAUUAGGAAGAACACCAGUGGCGAAGGCGGCUUUCUGGACUGUAACUGACGCUGAGGCACGAAAGCGUGGGGAGCAAA